UGAAGCUGCCAGCAUGAUCUAAACUUUUCUAUUGCUCUGUACGAGGAAAGAUCAGAUCAUGUGGCAGCAUCACC